rnacentral:rRNA from 1 species
AUUGAACGCUGGCGGCAGGCUUAACACAUGCAAGUCGAGCGGAGAUGAGGUGCUUGCACCUUAUCUUAGCGGCGGACGGGUGAGUAAUGCUUAGGAAUCUGCCUAUUAGUGGGGGACAACAUUCCGAAAGGAAUGCUAAUACCGCAUACGCCCUACGGGGGAAAGCAGGGGAUCUUCGGACCUUGCGCUAAUAGAUGAGCCUAAGUCGGAUUAGCUAGUUGGGGGGGUAAAGGCCUACCAAGGCGACGAUCUGUAGCGGGUCUGAGAGGAUGAUCCGCAACACUGGGACUGAGACACGGCCCAGACUCCUACGGGAGGCAGCAGUGGGGAAUAUUGGACAAUGGGCGGAAGCCUGAUCCAGCCAUGCCGCGUGUGUGAAGAAGGCCUUUUGGUUGUAAAGCACUUUAAGCGAGGAGGAGGCUACCUGGAUUAAUACUCUAGGAUAGUGGACGUUACUCGCAGAAUAAGCACCGGCUAACUCUGUGCCAGCCGCCGCAGUAACAC